GCUCCCGUAGCUCAGGGGAUAGAGCACCGCUCUCCUAAAGCGGGUGUCGGCAGUUCGAAUCUGCCCGGGAGCA
rnacentral:tRNA from 1 species